UUGCCCUAGUAACGGCGAGUGAAGCGGCAACAGCUCAAAUUUGAAAUCUGGCUCUUUCAGAGUCCGAGUUGUAAUUUGCAGAGGGCGCUUUGGCGUUGGCAGCGGUCCAAGUUCUUUGGAACAGGACGUCACAGAGGGUGAGAAUCCCGUACGUGGUCGCUAGCCUUCGCCGUGUAAAGCCCCUUCGACGAGUCGAGUUGUUUGGGAAUGCAGCUCUAAAUGGGAGGUAAAUUUCUUCUAAAGCUAAAUACUGGCCAGAGACCGAUAGCGCACAAGUAGAGUGAUCGAAAGAUGAAAAGCACUUUGGAAAGAGAGUCAAAUAGCACGUGAAAUUGUUGAAAGGGAAGCGCUUGCAGCCAGACUUGCCUGUAGUUGCUUAUCUGGACUUUUGUCCGGUGCACUCUUCUGCGGGCAGGCCAGCAUCAGUUUGGGCGGUUGGAUAAAGGUCUCUGUCAUGUACCUCCUUUCGGGGAGGCCUUAUAGGGGAGACGACAUGCAACCAGCCUGGACUGAGGUCCGCGCAUCUGCUAGGAUGCUGGCGUAAUGGCUGUAAGCGGCCCGUCUUGAAACACGGACCAAGGAGUCUAACAUCUAUGCGAGUGUUUGGGUGUCAAGCCCAGACGCGUAAUGAAAGUGAACGGAGGUGGGAACCCUUUGGGUGCACCAUCGACCGAUCCUGAUGUCUUCGGAUGGAUUUGAGUAAGAGCAUGGCUGUUGGGACCCGAAAGAUGGUGAACUAUGCUUGAAUAGGGUGAAGCCAGAGGAAACUCUGGUGGAGGCUCGCAGCGGUUCUGACGUGCAAAUCGAUCGUCAAAUUU
rnacentral:rRNA from 1 species